rnacentral:rRNA from 1 species
UACAGAGGGUGCGAGCGUUAAUCGGAAUUACUGGGCGUAAAGCGUGCGUAGACGGUUAUUUAAGUCGGAUGUGAAAGCCCCGGGCUCAACCUGGGAAUUGCAUUCGAGACUGAAUAGCUAGGGUACGGUAGAGGGAAGUGGAAUUUCCGGUGUAGCGGUGAAAUGCGUAGAUAUCGGGAGGAACACCAGUGGCGAAGGCGACUACCUGGCCUGUUCUUGACGCUGAGGCGCGAAAGCUAGGGGAGCAAACGGG